rnacentral:lncRNA from 1 species
GCAAGUCACUGACGAGUGGAUAGACAUCCAAGUGACUUCUUGUCUUGGUCACGCUCAGUACCCUUGUUCUCUAACAAGCACCUGUACUAUCACUUCAGUGUCCCUACACUGUGGACUCAAGUCUCGUCCAUCCAGAAGGAAAGUGAUCUGUACACUGAUCGGAUCGAUCACCGUCCUCGUGAUGAUCCAUUGAUCAGGAGCAUUUAGAAAUUAAUCACCAAUGAUACA